GACGAACGCUGGCGGCGUGCCUAAUACAUGCAAGUAGAACGCACAGUUUAUACCGUAGCUUGCUACACCAUAGACUGUGAGUUGCGAACGGGUGAGUAACGCGUAGGUAACCUGCCUGGUAGCGGGGGAUAACUAUUGGAAACGAUAGCUAAUACCGCAUAAUAUUAAUUAUUGCAUGAUAAUUGAUUGAAAGAUGCAACUGCAUCACUACCAGAUGGACCUGCGUUGUAUUAGCUAGUAGGUGAGGUAACGGCUCACCUAGGCGACGAUACAUAGCCGACCUGAGAGGGUGAUCGGCCACACUGGGACAGAGACACGGCCCAGACUCCUACGGGAGGCAGCAGUAGGGAAUCUUCGGCAAUGGACGAAAGUCUGACCGAGCAACGCCGCGUGAGUGAAGAAGGUUUUCGGAUCGUAAAGCUCUGUUGUAAGAGAAGAACGGGUGUGAGAGUGGAAAGUUCACACUGUGACGGUAUCUUACCAGAAAGGGACGGCUAACUACGUG
rnacentral:rRNA from 1 species